GGCUUAACACAUGCAAGUCGAACGCCCCGCAAGGGGAGUGGCAGACGGGUGAGUAACGCGUGGGAAUCUACCCAGCUCUACGGAAUAACUCAGGGAAACUUGUGCUAAUACCGUAUACGUCCGAUAGGAGAAAGAUUUAUCGGAGUUGGAUGAGCCCGCGUUGGAUUAGCUAGUUGGUGGGGUAAUGGCCUACCAAGGCGACGAUCCAUAGCUGGUCUGAGAGGAUGAUCAGCCACAUUGGGACUGAGACACGGCCCAAACUCCUACGGGAGGCAGCAGUGGGGAAUAUUGGACAAUGGGCGAAAGCCUGAUCCAGCCAUGCCGCGUGAGUGAUGAAGGCCCUAGGGUUGUAAAGCUCUUUCAACGGUGAAGAUAAUGACGGUAACCGUAGAAGAAGC
rnacentral:rRNA from 1 species